AGCGAACGCUGGCGGCAGGCCUAACACAUGCAAGUCGAGCGCCCGUAGCAAUACGGGAGCGGCAGACGGGUGAGUAACACGUGGGAACGUACCCUUCGGUUCGGAAUAACCCAGGGAAACUUGGAUUAAUACCGAAUACGUCCGUAAGGAGAAAGAUUUAUCGCCGAAGGAUCGGCCCGCGUCCGAUUAGCUUGUUGGUGGGGUAAUGGCCCACCAAGGCUACGAUCGGUAGCUGGUCUGAGAGGAUGAUCAGCCACACUGGGACUGAGACACGGCCCAGACUCCUACGGGAGGCAGCAGUGGGGAAUAUUGGACAAUGGGCGCAAGCCUGAUCCAGCCAUGCCGCGUGGGUGAUGAAGGCCCUAGGGUUGUAAAGCCCUUUCGGCGGGAAG
rnacentral:rRNA from 1 species